ACACUCGCUGGCAGGCUGGGUGCCGGAUCCCUCGCCCGCCCAGGAAAGUGGGUUACGGAGGGAAGAGGCUCAGCUCAGAUGCUGGCAAAGGAGCAUCCAGCCACAGAGACCAGAGAACACCUUCCUUUUUGCUGCCUCGUCUCCAUCCUUUCUAGAGGGUUUUAUAUUUGCACUCUCUCUUUUAAAAUUUUGUUUCUUUGACUUUUCCCCACCUCUGCUCUGGUUUUAUGAGGGCUUUGUUAAGUCUUAGACGGGAAAGAGACUGAGUGAGGGAAAGAAAGAGGCAAAGUGGAAAGGACCACAAAUUGGCAAAGCCUGUUCUGCUUUUGCUGUGGAUGAAAGUCCUCUGUUUGUAAAGCCCUCUCGGCGUGAGCAGCACGCGCACCCUCCAGAGUAGCCGGACCCUGCACCGCACCUCGGCGUGGCCACCAUGGUCGCCAGAGUUCAGCCUGAUCGGAAACAGUUGCCGCUAGUCCUACUGAGAUUGCUCUGCCUUCUUCCCACAGGACUGCCUGUUCGCAGCGUGGAUUUUAACCGAGGCACCGACAACAUCACCGUGAGGCAGGGGGACACGGCCAUCCUCAGAGAGAUCAGGAGCAGAGAAAGAAGACAGUGAAGCUGAAAAUUAAAACCUAUCCCAGUUUCUGGGCCACCACUUUGUAAGAAAGUCUUUUUAGGCUGCUUAAACAGAAGGCUUUUUGACUGAAAGAGGGAGUCGUACAUCCAACCCAGAGGUGCCAUUUUGAGAGUGCACGAGAUCCAUUGAUACAAAAAACUCUGCACAAUAAGAAUGUGGUCAGAAAUAUUCCCCAAGAGGCUGGUCAUAUUGAUGAAAUAAGACAAUGAUUAUUUAAGGACAAUAGAAGCUUAAAGUAUUCAUCAAAUGUUUUUCAGCUAAACUAAUGUGGUACAAUCCACAUACCAGGACAAUAUGGAGAAAUUGUGACACAGGCCAAGGAGUUGAUGGAGAGCUAGAAGAUAGAGGAUUGAAGACAUUUAGAAAAACUAUGAAAACCAGAAAGAUCAGGGUAAGGACAUGCUACACUAGCUCACCCUCUGUUGUGUCUUUUAUUGUGCUAGGAAAGAUGGUCAUUGUUACUUAUAAAAAUCUCCUCCCCCAAAGUUGCUCUUCUUCCCCUCCCCCAAUCCCAGGAAGACUUUCAUGGAAAAUAGAACCUUUCUGUUAUGCUUACCCAGCUCUGUUCAGAGCCACAGGAUUGAAUACACUCAGAGGCAUAUCCAGCUAAUGCAAACCCUGCUAGCCAAAUAGUUUUUCCAGGCUGAGGGAUGAAGUCAGAUAUGAAGGAAAAGAGUAUAGGAAUAGAAAUGAUAAUUGAGGUCUUCUGAGAGUUAAGAGAGAGAUUAUUCAGUAUAGGAAGCAAAAAUGUCAAGAAAUGGGUUGCAGUCCUGUAAUUUCAUUGGACUAAUUGUGAGUCCUUGAAGCUCGAUUUCCUCUUUACAAAACGAAGGGAUUUGUCAUGAUGUCCUAAUGGUGCCAAUGUGAUGUAAUUAAGUCUAUUCAAGAAAUAAUCCUUAUCUUGAUUAGGUAAAUAGGACUUGAUUAAUUCCACUCUGAUUAACCACUGCCUCUCAACCUCUUCUAGAGGCAUUUUACCCAUUCUACCCAGCAAUUCACCAUCUUCUCCCAGCAGAGAUGAAAAAUGCCCCAGUCUCCUUCAUGAUAGAGAUCAAGCCAAGAUCUAAAUGCUGUAAAACAUAAAACACUUCUGCAGAUGGUUGUGGUUUGCCUUGCAAGUGGAAUGGCAUUGGUGGAGACAAGAUGAGGAGGGGAGAAAAGGAGGGGGGUAUAAAGGAGAGUUUCCUUUAAAACAUCAAAAAGACUUUAUAGAUCUUUUCUGCCCUUUCAUGAAGACUUCAUCUGGCAGCCAGAUUGCCUUAAUGGUCUGCCUAGAAAGACCCACCCUGGCCUGACAUAGCCAGACACACACUUUCCAGCUUUGCUUUGCUUCUUUGAUGCUGUCACAUGUUCUUCAUUUUCUACAUUUCAUUCAUUCUUUGCCUUUAAGCUAUAAGGAUAAAAGUGCCUGGCAUUAAAAAAAAAAUCAGUGUACAUUUUUUAAAGGGGCAGGCAUUUCAUGCAGCUUUGAUUUCCUUCUGGGAGAAAAUCAUUACUUUUCUUUAAAGGAGAAAUUAGAUUUUUUUCUGCUUCCUCUCCCUGCUUUCCACCCUUCACCCCAACGCUCCCAUUUUUCAGCAGUAAGAAAUAACACUGGGUUUAGUGCAGGAACGGGCUAGAGAAAUGAUUGUCUCCUAGAAAGCACUUAUGCCACUACAAUGAAUAAAAAAGCCUAAGCAUUCAUUUACUGCUAAACAAUGACGAAAGACAAUUGGAAUGUUUUAAAGGACUGCACUAUAUUCAACAUCUGGUAAACAUUGGUUGAGAUAGCUGUUUUUAAAACCAGGUGGUGUAGAGGAGGAACGAUAACCAGUAGAGUAUGAUUUUUAUAACCUUUGAAAUGUAUAAGAAGGUUACAUAGAGAGGUCUGAAGCAUUGUGUAUGAAGGAGCAUGUUAACAGAAACAGAGUAAAAACUCAUACUGCAAAGGAAACACUAAUACGAGAGAAUUCCUGUGUGUGGAAUACUCAUGUAAGUCACAAAAUGUGGCCACAGGGACACACUCUAGAUUUUCUCUCCAAAUUAAUGAGCCCAAUUUUAAAAAUAUGGAGUGAAUCUAUAGAAGAAGGACAAGUAGUAAUAUUAAGGAAUAAGAGUUGGCUAGAUGAGUGUCUAAAUACACACAGUGGGGGAAAAUAGGAAGUGAUAAGAUUUCCAGAUAGGAUAAAUGACUACAUCCAUAACAAGUAUUUCGAACCCAAAUGAAAGAAUAAUGUCUGGAACUGAUCCUUAGAUUUGAAUGUGGAAUAAUGCUGGAGAUAUAUGUGUAAUACACAAAAACAAAACAAAACAUUCCCCCAAACAUACAUAUUUCUAGAGGAAGAGGAAAAAUGAAGAAAUCUAUCACCCACCUAUUAAACUCCAGGAAAGGAAAUGGUGCCAAAUGUGGAAACUGGAAAAAAAAAAAUUAAAGGGAAAAUCUGCAAAGUUAAAUAAACUACAAGAAACCCCAAACCAUUCCAAAUACCUCAUUGGAAAUUCAUGAUAAAUGGCUUUAGAGGCACAAACAGGCCAAGAGCUGAUGACAGUAAAACAAAACUCUCUGAAUAACCGGCUGCGUCAGAAUAUCUCCUGUUGGAAGGAGCAAGAAAAAGCGUCUUUGGGAGAGGGGAAAACAAUUAGAAGAACAGGAUGAUCGACCAACCAGAGCAAGCACCAAAUACUUAAAAAGUAAACAUAGGAGGAUCCCAUGAAAGGUACUCAAAAUAUAAUAGUAUAUAUAUAUAAUACCUUUCAAUAAGGUAGCCUAGUCCUUGCUUGGAGCCUCUUUGAAGAUCACCCAGACCCUGUACAUCAAGGGACAGAAUCUUUUAGGGAAUUUGAAACACCAUUUGAAGGUCAGUAUAUGAACAGUGGGCUUAGGAGAAAAAAGGAAUAUCAGGAAUUCCUGUCUUGGUGCAGGAAAUGAAUCUGCCUAGGAAUCAGGAGGUUGUGGAUUCGAACCCUGGCUUCGCUCAGUGUGUUAAGGAUCCAGCAUUGCCGUCAUCUGUAGGUUGCAGAUUUGGCUCAGAUCUGGUGUUGCUGUGGCUCUGGUGUAGGCCAGCAGCAACAGCUCUGGUUAGACCCCUAACCUGGGAACCACCGUAUGCCAUAGGUGCACCCCUAAAAAGACAAAAGACAAAAAAAAAAAA
rnacentral:lncRNA from 1 species